rnacentral:lncRNA from 1 species
UUGGAGCUAAGUGCAACAAAUAGCAAGGUUCAACAAAAAGCUUGCCGAGCAAGAAUCGAGACUUGCGGCAGAAACAAAGAAGAAAAAUGAAAUAAAUUUUAAGCAAAGCUAAAAUAGAGAGUAUAUGGAUGAAAUCUUGAUUGAAUUCAUUCAUUUUUUUUUAAAAUGGCAUAAAGCCUAUUUAUACAAGCUUACAACUUGACAACUUAGUUGGAAUACAACUAAGUUUCAUCAUUACAUCCACUUAAAAUAAAUCACCACCUACUACCACUAACAAACUUAGUUGGAAUACAACUAAGUUUCAUCAUUACAUCCACUUAAAAUAAAUCACCACCUACUACCACUAACAAACUUAGUUGGAAUACAACUAAGUUACAUCAUUACAUCCAAAUAAUAAUAAUAAUAAUAAUAAUAAUAAUAAUAAAACAUGUGAUUGCUACAUGCUAACCAUUGCUUCAAUACUCCUCCUUGGUUUGCAUGGAGCAAACACCUAGCUUCCUUCUUAGACAUUCGAACCUUGUGACAUUAAGGGCUUUAGUCAAAAUGUCUGCAAGUUGAUCCUCAGAAUUACAAUGGAUCAGCUUCACUUCCUGAGCUUGCUCCAUUUCUCGAACAACAUGCAACUUGAUGCUGAAAUGCUUUGUUCUUCCAUGGAACACUGGAUUUUUAGCAAUUGCAACUGAAGAUUGGUUGUCACAGAAGAUCUCAGUAGCUUCCUUUUGAUGCACUUUCAAAUCAGCUAAGAUUUUCCUUAGCCAAAUGGCUUGGUUGACAGCACUUGCAGCUGCCACAUAUUCUGCUUCAGCAGUAGAUUGAGCCACCAGACUUUGCUUCUUCGAGCUCCAGCAAAACAUGGCUGAACCAAGGUUGAAAGCAUACCCUGAGGUGCUUUUCAUGUCAUCUAUCGAGCCAGCCCAGUCACUAUCAGUGUAGCCAACCAGCUUCAGAUUUCCUUCCUUGCUGUACCUUAAACCAUAGCUCAAAGUGCCUUUGACAUAUCUAAGCACUCUCUUAGCAGCUUGUAAAUGCUUUUUAUUGCAACAAUGCAAGAACCUUGAGAGAAAUCCUACAGCAUACAUUAUGUCUGGUCUAGUGGCAGUUAAAUAUAACAGACAACCAACUAGACUUCUGUAGGUUGUUUCACAAACCUUCUCAAAAUCACCUUGGCUCGAUAGUUUUUCUCCAACAGCAACAGGUGUUUUAGUUGCUUUACUAUUUUGCAUGGAGAACUUGGUCAGAAUCUUUGUGGCAAAGUUUCUCUGACUUAGAAAUAUCCCAUUUUGUGCUUGAGUCACCUCCAUUCCAAGGAAAUAAGACAUUUCCCCUAGAUCAGACAUUUCAAAUACUUCUUGCAUCUUGGUCUUGAAAUCGACCAGCACUGCUCGAUCUCCUCCUGUCACCAGCAGGUCAUCAACAUAUAGGGAUACAAUGAGCUGUGUUUGUGUCCCUUGCUUCUUGACAUACAGUGUUGACUCACUCUUGCUUCGAUCGAAUCCCAAAUUAGUCAAGUAGCCAUCGAUUCUGCUGUACCAGGCCCUUGGAGCCUGUUUUAAGCCAUAUAGGGCCUUCUUCAGUUUGUAGACCAUAUGCUCUCUGCCAGCUAUCUCAAACCCUUGUGGUUGUUCAACAUAGAUCUCUUCAUCUAAGAAACCAUUCAGAAAGGCUGAUUUCACAUCGAGUUGAUGGAUCUUCCACUCGAGCUGUGCUGCUAAGGCAAUCAGUAAUCUGAUGGUGUCUAGCCUGGCCACUGGUGCAAAGGUCUCCAAGUAGUCCAGGCCAUACCUCUGACUGAACCCCUUGACAACUAGCCUUGCUUUCAGUUUUUUCAAGGUACCAUCAGCAUUUUGCUUGGCUUUGUACACCCAUUUCACCCCAAUUAUCUUCCUUUUGACUGGCCUUUCAACUAAUUCCCAGGUCUGGUUCUUCUCAAUCAUGCUAAUCUCCUCAGCCAUUGCCUGCUUCCACUCUUGCUGAGCUUCAGCCUCUUCAAAAUUGCUUGGUUCAGCUAUGGCUACAUGAGCUCUUUCAUAAAUCUCAGUCAAUGGUCUUGUUCCUCUAACUGGUUCAUCAUCAAUGUCCAUUUCAGGAACAUUUUGAUCUGGCUCAGCUUGAUCUGCUGCAAGUCCUUCUGAAACUUCCUCAGGUUCAUGUUUUUCCCAGUUCCAACAUGACUUUUCAUCAAAUACCACAUCCCUACUGACUGACACUUUCUUUGUUGAAGGAUCCAAGAUCCUAUAGCCCUUCUUAACAGUGCUGUAGCCCACCAAAAUACCAGGUCAAGCCCUUUCAGACAAUUUGUCCCUUUUGACAGCAGGUACAUGAGCAUAACAGAUGCAUCCAAAGACCUUCAGAUGAGCCAGUGAUGGCUUGAAUCCAAACCAGGCUUCGAAUGGAGUCUUCUGAUCCAAGGCCUUGGUUGGAAGCCUAUUUUGAAUGUAGUUUGCAGUGUUAACUGCCUCUGCCCAUAGUGCUUGAGGCAGAUUCUUCUGAAUCAUCAAGCACCUGGCCAUAUCCAUCAAACUCCUAUUCUUCCUUUCACUUACACCAUUUUGCUGAGGUGUAUAUGUGUUGGUAAGUUGAUGUUUGAUGCCUGCCUUAUCACAGAAGGCUUGGAACUGAGCUGAGGUGUACUCAGUCCCAUUAUCAGACCUUAUGGACUUCAGCUUGCAACCUGUUUCAGUCUCAGCAGCAGUCUUGAACUUCCAAAACACUGAGGUCGCCUCUGAUUUCUGUUUUAGGAAGUAAAGCCAGCAAUAUCUUGAAAAAUCAUCAAUGAACAGUAUGAAGUACCUGUUUCCACUUAAUGACUCAGUCCUCAUAGGGCCACACACAUUAGUGUGCACCAGUUGGAGUUUUUCAGAGGCUCUCCAGGCUUGAUUCGAGGGAAAUGGGAGUCUGGCCUGCUUUCCUAGCUGACACACUUCACACACAUCAUCAUGAUCCACUGAGUUGAUGAAGUUUUCAGCCAAGUCCUCUCUGACCAUUCGAGCCAUCGAUCUGAAGUUGGCAUGUCCCAGUCUUUGAUGCCAAAGCUUGGAUUCAUCUGAUGUGACUGUGUAGGCAAUGUCUGACUCCCUGGUCCAGUCAACUACAAAGCUCUUAUUAGCCAUAGGAACUGCCAUCAGCUUGGAUCCACUUGGAUCAUUGAUUUGGCAUUGGUUGUCUUUGAACACAACAGAAUAACCUUUCUCCAGCAACUGAGCUAUGCUGAGCAGGUUUCUGUCAAUUUCAGGCACCAAAAGCACAUUUGAAAUCACUUUGGCACCUGUGGGGGUGCAUAUCAGCACAUCACCCUUGCCUUCAGCUUGAAUAAAAUGUCCAUUUCCUAUCUUGACUUUAGUUCUGCAGCUUCUGUCUAAAGACUUGAAGAUUGCAGCAUCAGGUGUCAUGUGGUUGGUGCAUCCACUGUCUAGAAGCCAACCAGAUGAGAACUUUUCUUGAGCAGCUGAGCAUAACACAGCAAAGACUUGCUCCUCUUGGUCACUGUCCUCCUUAGCUACUCGAGCCUCAGCUUUCUUCUGUUGAAACUGACUCUGCCUUGAUUUGGCCUUGCUCUUGCAGACUCUCUCAACAUGACCCUUCUUUUUACAAUGCUGACAUACAGCAUCUGGAUUGAACCAGCAUUUUUCUUUUGGAUGACCAGCCCUUCUGCAGUGCUUGCAAGUCUGACCCUCUUUUCUUGCAACAUCAGUCCUUGGCUUGUCUCUCCAGGCCUUCUUGCCUUUGUAGGCAGUGUUUGUUCUUGCCUGAAAGGCACCUUCUUGAUGCUCCUCCAGUCUGCUUGCUCUUCUUUGCUCUUGAGCAUAUAAAGCAUUGAUCAACUCUGUCAGGGAGAUGGUGUACAGGUCCCUUGAGUCCUCGAGAGAUGAGAUUUUUGCCUCAUACCUCUCGGGCAGAGUUGCAAUAACCUUCUCCACUAUCCUAGCUUCCUUGAGCUGCUCUCCAAGGAGCCUUAUACUGUUAACCACAGCCAUAAUCCUGUCAGAGUACUGCUUGAUAGUUUCUUCUUCCUUCAUCUUCAAAUUCUCGAAAUCUCUCCUUAAGUUUAGCAACUGUUGCUGGCUUGUCCUCUCUGUCCCUUGAAACUCCUCUUGCAACUUGUCCCAGGCUUGUUUUGGUGAUUCACAGGCCAUAAUCCUUGUGAAAAUCACAUCUGACACUGAGUUCUGGAUGCAAGACAUGGCUUUGUGCCUCUUGGUCCUCUCAUCAGCAUGCUGCCUGAUUUGAGCCACUGUUGGAUUGCCUCUAAGUGGCUCUGGUUCAACAUCUGAGUUGACUACCUCCCACAGAUCGAAAGCUUGUAGGUAGGUCUUCAUUUUAACCACCCAUAUGUGGUAGCCUUCUCCAUUGAAGACUUGAGGUGCAGCUGGUGAAAAGCUUGAUGAAGCCAUGAAUUUGUAUAACAGAUCCCUUAAGAACUAGGCUCUGAUACCAAUUGUUGGAGCUAAGUGCAACAAAUAGCAAGGUUUCAACAAAAAGCUUGCCGAGCAAGAAUCGAGACUUGCGGCAGAAACAAAGAAGAAAAAUGAAAUAAAUUUUAAGCAAAGCUAAAAUAGAGAGUAUAUGGAUGAAAUCUUGAUUGAAUUCAUUCAUUUUUUUUAAAAUGGCAUAAAGCCUAUUUAUACAAGCUUACAACUUGACAACUUAGUUGGAAUACAACUAAGUUUCAUCAUUACAUCCACUUAAAAUAAAUCACCACCUACUACCACUAACAAACUUAGUUGGAAUACAACUAAGUUUCAUCAUUACAUCCACUUAAAAUAAAUCACCACCUACUACCACUAACAAACUUAGUUGGAAUACAACUAAGUUUCAUCAUUACAUCCACUUAAAAUAAAUCACCACCUACUACCACUAACAAACUUAGUUGGAAUACAACUAAGUUACAUCAUUACAUCCAAAUAAUAAUAAUAAUAAUAAUAAUAAAACAUGUGAUUGCUACAUG